rnacentral:rRNA from 1 species
CACGUAGGGGCCAAGCGUUGUCCGGAUUUAUUGGGCGUAAAGAGCUCGUAGGCGGUUCGGUAAGUCGGGUGUGAAACCUCCAGGCUCAACCUGGAGACGCCACCCGAUACUGCUGUGACUUGAGUCCGGUAGGGGAGCGUGGAAUUCCUGGUGUAGCGGUGAAAUGCGCAGAUAUCAGGAGGAACACCAGCGGCGAAGGCGGCGCUCUGGGCCGGAACUGACGCUGAGGAGCGAAAGCAUGGGGAGCGAACAGG